rnacentral:lncRNA from 1 species
CGAUUUAAAGGGUUUGACCACAUAUCAUCCUCUGGCGGUGAUGGGUCAGUUUGAUUAGUAUCAGGACGUUCAGGCAUUCGAGGGGGCUGAGGAUUACCGAUUUCCCAUUUUCUCAACAACCAAUGCAGAUUUGGCUUGAGUCUACGGGUUUCGAUCCCAUCGGCAUACUGCAGAGUUUAGAGAUGGCCAUCCGGGUCGAACAAUAGAGUAUUUAGCCUGGUUGGAGACUGACUUAGCUCCCGAUGUGGUUCAUCAGACCGAUGCAGCGACUGAGGAUGAGCUGUUUGCAGGUUUGACAGUGACUUUGGUUAGCACUGUUCCGAGCUCUAUAUCGGUUUCUAGGGAUGCCUAGGAUCGCCAGGUUCAUCUUUUAACCUUUGAGCGGGAUUGGGAUCGGACUCAUGCGCUGAUGUUGCCUGCUUUGGCUGGUGGGGAUGCGGCUAGCGCUGAGAGAGAUGUCUCCAUUAUUGCUCGAGAUGAGGCUUUAGCUGAGAGAGAUGUCGUUCGGUCCUUUGCUGAUGGGAUCACCGAUCGUGCUCAUAAUGUUGUUUAGAGUCAAGAUGGGAUCUUCAGGUCAGCUUUAGAGUUGUUAAGGCGUGUUGAUGUGCUAGAGCAGGAGCUUAGGGCUGCUCCCCAAAUUGCAGAGAUGGCUGAGUAUUUGGAGAUGUUGUCCCGCUUGACCUCAGACUUGUAGUCCUGCUUUAUUUUCCUGUACAAACUAUGUUAU